rnacentral:rRNA from 1 species
UUGGAGGGCAAGUCUGGUGCCAGCAGCCGCGGUAAUUCCAGCUCCAAUAGCGUAUAUUAAAGUUGUUGCAGUUAAAAAGCUCGUAGUUGAAUUUCGGGGUUAGUAGGUUGGUCAUGCCACUGGUAUGUACUGGUCUCACUGAUUCCUCCUUCCUGAUGAGACGUAUGCCAUUAAUUUGGUGUUGCGAGGAAUCUGGACUGUUACUUUGAAAAUAUUAGAGUGUUUAAAGCAGGCUAACGCUUGAACACAUUAGCAUGGAAUAAUGAAAUAGGACGUUCGAUCUUAUUUUGUUGGUUUCUAGGAUUGACGUAAUGAUUAAUAGGGAUAGUUGGGGGCAUUAGCAUUCAAUUGUCAGAGGUGAAAUUCUUGGAUUUAUUGAAGACUAACUACUGCGAAAGCAUUUGCCAAGGAUGUUUUCAUUAAUCAAGAACGAAAGUAAGGGGAUCGAAGACGAUCAGAUACCGUCGUAGUCUUAACCAUAAACUAUGCCGACUAGGGAUCGGAUGAUGUUAAUUUUUUAAUGACUCAUUCGGCGCCUUACGGGAAACCAAAGUGUUUGGGUUC